rnacentral:rRNA from 1 species
GCUGAUGCNNCNCGCCGCGUGCGNNANGAAGGCCCUAGGGUUGUAAACCGCUUUCAGCAGGGAAGAAAAUGACGGUACCUGCAGAAGAAGGUGCGGCCAACUACGUGCCAGCAGCCGCGGUGACACGUAGGCACCAAGCGUUGUCCGGAUUUAUUGGGCGUAAAGAGCUCGUAGGCGGUUCAGUAAGUCGGGUGUGAAAACUCUGGGCUCAACCCAGAGACGCCACUCGAUACUGCUGUGACUCGAGUGCGGUAGGGGAGCGGGGAAUUCCUAGUGUAGCGGUGAAAUGCGCAGAUAUUAGGAGGAACACCAGUGGCGAAGGCGCCGCUCUGGGCCGUAACUGACGCUGAGGAGCGAAAGCGUGGGUAGCAAACAGGAUUAGAUACCCUGGUAGUCCACGCCGUAAACGUUGGGCACUAGGUGUGGGUCUCAACCAACGAGAUCCGCGCCGUCGCUAACGCAUUAAGUGCCCCGCCUGGGGNGUACNG